CUGGAGGUAUCAGAAGUGCGAAUGCUGACAUAAGUAACGAUAAAGCGGGUGAAAAGCCCGCUCGCCGGAAGACCAAGGGUUCCUGUCCAACGUUAAUCGGGGCAGGGUGAGUCGACCCCUAAGGCGAGGCCGAAAGGCGUAGUCGAUGGGAAACAGGUUAAUAUUCCUGUACUUGGUGUUACUGCGAAGGGGGGACGGAGAAGGCUAUGUUGGCCGGGCGACGGUUGUCCCGGUUUAAGCGUGUAGGCUGGUUUUCCAGGCAAAUCCGGAAAAUCAAGGCUGAGGCGUGAUGACGAGGCACUACGGUGCUGAAGCAACAAAUGCCCUGCUUCCAGGAAAAGCCUCUAAGCAUCAGGUAACAUCAAAUCGUACCCCAAACCGACACAGGUGGUCAGGUAGAGAAUACCAAGGCGCUUGAGAGAACUCGGGUGAAGGAACUAGGCAAAAUGGUGCCGUAACUUCGGGAGAAGGCACGCUGAUACGUAGGUGAAGUCCCUCGCGGAUGGAGCUGAAAUCAGUCGAAGAUACCAGCUGGC
rnacentral:rRNA from 1 species